rnacentral:rRNA from 1 species
AACGAACGCUGGCGGCAUGCCUAACACAUGUAAGUCGAACGAGACCUUCGGGUCUAGUGGCGCACGGGUGCGUAACGCGUGGGAACCUGCCCUUAGGUUCGGAAUAACUCCCCGAAAGGGGUGCUAAUGCCGGAUAAUGUCUUCGGACCAAAAAUUUAUCGCCUUUGGAUGGGCCCGCGUUGGAUUAGCUAGUUGGUAGGGUAAAAGCCUACCAAGGCGACGAUCCAUAGCUGGUCUGAGAGGAUGAUCAGCCACACUGGGACUGAGACACGGCCCAGACUCCUACGGGAGGCAGCAGUGGGGAAUAUUGGACAAUGGGCGAAAGCCUGAUCCAGCAAUGCCGCGUGAGUGAUGAAGGCCUUAGGGUUGUAAAGCUCUUUUACCCGGGAUGAUAAUGACAGUACCGGGAGAAUAAGCUCCGGCUAACUCCGUG